GGCCGCUGAUUGGUCAAACAGCGAAUUUCUGAAUACCGCCCACUUUUCCGCAGAUCCUCCUCGUGAGAACAACGUGUGUUCCGACUUCACUAGGCGAGGUCUUUUGUCACACUCUGUAAGCCUCCCACCGUGCAUAUCCACGGUUUUGACCCUUGGGUUGAAAGCUAGGUAAAGCUUGUUGUUUUUGUGUCCCCUUCGAAGAAAUUGAUUCAAUUCGAACAGAGAGAGAACCCGAUAAUCAGUUAAACUGGAAGAUAGCGUGUCCUCUACGCCACCAAGUGGUACAAAUUGUUUACUGCACCACUACCGGUUUGAAUGAGACCAUUAUGUAAUUUUACCACGUGCAACCUAGUCGAUGUUGCCUUAGACUGGAUCUCCAUGCGAGCAGAGCAUAUGGAAAUUAUGAUAUCACACAACCGCGAACCAUGUGUUUCAUUCGGUCACAUCUUUAGUGACAUGUUGCUUUAAUAUUUGCAAAUUUCACAGUUGAUCAGAGUUGCAGCAACCCCCUUAAUAGUCUCAAAGAAGGAGUCAUGCUCGUUACAGAUUUGAGUCAAAAAUCCCAUUUUCAUUCCCAGAUUUAAACUGCCGAAAGAUGAUUCAAAUUAACAUUACAUUACAGAGGUUAAGUCUUAGAAGCCGCAACAAGUGUGAUUAUGCAAGUGUACUCAUCACAAAGGCCGGUGAGAGUACGGUAUACGUAAUGUAAGAUUAAAAUAUAGUAUAGUUGUUAAGGAGGAAAUUGGAGCACCUUCCCGUGUAAGUCUCUUAGCUCAAAAUGUGUUCUCGAAUCCUUUGAUGACAUUGCGUGCAUGUGCACGCUUUGGAAGACCUCAGCAGAAUAUGACGUGUGAAUUUUGAAGAUGUAAUUGGUCUGGUUUACUUGAGGCACACUGCACUAUACGACAGUGGCAUUAUUUGAAUCUUGAGCCAGUUAGUGUCUUUAUCCCGUGUUUUGUUUUUGUUCCCACAGCAGAUGUUGUACCGGGAGGUGAUUUUUUUGUUUGUGUUGAUCCUCCAGCUGGUGUCCUCAUGAACAUCUUUAAAGCUGCACCAGCUGGUUGCUGAACAUAUUUCACGUGCUUGCACAGAAAAUGUUCUAUCCUGGUGCACAGCGCCUCCUCUUGGACAUCAUGAAAAGACGGCUGCUCAGGCGAAGGUAGGACUACGAGCCAUGUAGUGUCAGUACCCAAAGUGAUUCACACCGUGACCUCGAUUUUUGUUUGUGAUUUCUUUUUUUAAAGCUCGGAAUGCCACACAAAAGUGGCAAAAAGACUUUGAAACUGUUGAAUUCACUCGAAGUCAAAUGUCCAAAAUCUGAAUAAUAAUUAUGUUUUCACAAUACAUUAACAUGCUGUAAAUUUUGGACUGAUUAGAACGUUCUUGUGAGAACAGAAAAACAUUCAAUUAAAAAUUGUGUUAGGCUGUUAAUUGUUUACAUAUGGCUCAAAACAAGGCUGAAAAUUUUUCUUUUGGGAACAGUUUUGAUGAUGAAUGACUUCAUUUGAGGAGCAAUCAAUUUUGAAGAGUGUUUUUUUUUACAGCUUAAUCCCUGAAACCUGAAGCAAGGCUUUUAUUUAAACAUUAAAAACGCGACAAUAUAA